GAGAAGGUGGCUCAGUGGUAGAGUGCUUACCUUGCAUGCAUGAGACCCUGUGGUUCAAUUCCUCAGCAUCACA
rnacentral:tRNA from 1 species